AAAGUAAAAGUUUUUAGUUUUCAUUUCCUUUGAAAUUGCUUAAAUUUUUCUGUGGUCUUCAGGCGUUUCGACUGUCUCCUAGCAUGUAGAAAUUGCCUGUUAUGGGUAAUUUCUCUUUGUUUUAAAUGUAUACACACACACACACACACAU